rnacentral:rRNA from 1 species
CCUACGGGUGACAGCAGUGAGGAAUAUUGGUCAAUGGGCGUAAGCCUGAACCAGCCAAGUCGCGUGAGGGAUGAAGGUUCUAUGGAUCGUAAACCUCUUUUAUAAGGGAAUAAAGUGUGGGACGUGUCCUAUUUUGUAUGUACCUUAUGAAUAAGGAUCGGCUAACUCCGUGCCAGCAGCCGCGGUAAUACGGAGGAUCCGAGCGUUAUCCGGAUUUAUUGGGUUUAAAGGGUGCGUAGGCGGCCUUUUAAGUCAGCGGUGAAAGUCUGUGGCUCAACCAUAGAAUUGCCGUUGAAACUGGGGGGCUUGAGUGUGUGAGAGGCAGGCGGAAUGCGUGGUGUAGCGGUGAAAUGCUUAGAUAUCACACAGAACCCCGAUUGCGAAGGCAGCCUGCCAGGCCAUGACUGACGCUGAUGCACGAAAGCGUGGGGAUCAAACAGGAUUAGAUACCCUAGUAGUC